UUGGCUGCUUUCUUGCAGACAUUUCAUGACCCAACUAGGUAACUUCAUCAGCCCUGGAAGGGAGGAGGGGUUUGUGGAAAGGAGGAGGAGGA